UCAAAUUUAAAAGAUGGCUUCGGCUAUCACUUUGGGAUGGACCUGCGGCGCAUUAGCUUGUUGGUAGGGUAACGGCCUACCAAGGCUGUGAUGCGUAGCCGAGUUGAGAGACUGAUCGGCCACAAUGGAACUGAGACACGGUCCAUACUCCUACGGGAGGCAGCAGUAGGGAAUCUUCCACAAUGGGCGCAAGCCUGAUGGAGCAACACCGCGUGAGUGAAGAAGGGUUUCGGCUCGUAAAGCUCUGUUGUUAGAGAAGAACGUGCGUGAGAGCAACUGUUCACGCAGUGACGGUAUCUGACCAGAAAGUCACGGCUAACUACGUGCCAGCAGCCGCGGUAAUACGUAGGUGGCAAGCGUUAUCCGGAUUUAUUGGGCGUAAAGCGAGCG
rnacentral:rRNA from 1 species